rnacentral:rRNA from 1 species
AGAGUUUGAUCAUGGCUCAGGAUGAACGCUAGCGGCAGGCCUAAUACAUGCAAGUCGGACGGGAUCUGGAUCUAAGCUUGCUUAGAUUUAGUGAGAGUGGCGCACGGGUGCGUAACGCGUGAGCAACCUACCCAUAUCAGGGGGAUAGCCCGGAGAAAUCCGGACUAACACCGCAUGACACAACGACUCGGCAUCGAGAUGUUGUUAAAUAUUUAUAGGAUAUGGAUGGGCUCGCGUGACAUUAGCUAGUUGGUAAGGUAACGGCUUACCAAGGCUACGACGUCUAGGGGCUCUGAGAGGAGAAUCCCCCACACUGGUACUGAGACACGGACCAGACUCCUACGGGAGGCAGCAGUAAGGAAUAUUGGUCAAUGGAGGGAACUCUGAACCAGCCAUGGCCGCGUGCAGGAUGACUGCCCUAUGGGUUGUAAACUGCUUUUGUCCAGGAAUAACUACCACUACGUGUAGUGGCUUGAAUGUACUGGAAGAAUAAGGAUCGGCUAACUCCGUGCCAGCAGCCGCGGUAAUACGGAGGAUCCGAGCGUUAUCCGGAUUUAUUGGGUUUAAAGGGUGCGUAGGCGGCUUAUUAAGUCAGGGGUGAAAGACGGCAGCUCAACUGUCGCAGUGCCUUUGAUACUGAUGAGCUUGAAUGUGGUUGAAGAUGGCGGAAUGAGACAAGUAGCGGUGAAAUGCAUAGAUAUGUCUCAGAACUCCGAUUGCGAAGGCAGCUGUCUAAGUCAUUAUUGACGCUGAUGCACGAAAGCAUGGGGAUCGAACAGGAUUAGAUACCCUGGUAGUCCACGCC